rnacentral:rRNA from 1 species
UACGUAGGGUGCAAGCGUUGUCCGGAAUUAUUGGGCGUAAAGGGCUCGUAGGCGGUAUGUUGCGUCAGGAGUGAAAACUCGGGGCUUAACCCCGAGCCUGCUUCUGAUACGGGCAGACUAGAGGUAUGCAGGGGAGAACGGAAUUCCUGGUGUAGCGGUGAAAUGCGCAGAUAUCAGGAGGAACACCGGUGGCGAAGGCGGUUCUCUGGGCAUUACCUGACGCUGAGGAGCGAAAGUGUGGGGAGCGAACAGG